CCUGGUGGCUCAUGGGUAAAGCGUCUGCCUGCAGUGCAGGAGACCCAGGUUCAAUCCCUGCAUCGGGA
rnacentral:tRNA from 1 species